GUUUCAGAAGAUGCUACAGGAAACAGACUACUUUUCAUUAGAGACAAAAUACUAAAUUAUAGGCCCAUGUAUAUAUUAAAUAUUGUCUUCUAGCCCAAAACCAUCUUUCAUACCCCACGCCUCAGGAGGUGAUAGGUGAUAGAUCCCAACCCAGAUCCAACCCAAGAGGAUGCCUCCUCUACAUUGACAUGAGAGAAGAAUGACUGCUGCACACGCAACUGCUGAAAAACUGCUUUCCAUCCAGUCUGGCUAAAAGAAAUUGCAUUUGUAUGACAAUGGCACAUUUGAAAUAACAUUCAAAGUUGUCACUAGGGCGGUACCUUUUCGAAAGGUGAUUGUAUAAUUUAGCUACUAAUAUGCACCUUUAAGGUAAUAAAAGGCACACAUUUGGGCUAAAAUAAUAAGACAACAAUGUUUCCUUAAAUAAUAGUCCCACUAUACUGCAGACAUACUGAUAUCAGAAUGUAAGUAACUACAUUUAUAACUCAUUGAAAGACUGAGAUCUGUCAAACAUAUGUAUAACUAUGACACACUGUGGCUAUUUUGGGUACAGCAAAACAACCUAGUUUCUCUCGUUCUCUUUGAGUACUUUUCACUUGCAUGUCCCAUUAGAGUUGAUGUAACUUCACAGGACAUUUAUUUGCACAGGGUUAAAACCGAAUAAACAAUAUUGAUAUGUUUCUGAAGACGUUUUCAUUUAAACUGAUAUGUAACCAUUUUAUGUGUCUCUUUGUCUUUGCAAUAAAUAUACCCAUUCGUACCUUAACAUUGUUACCUGAAGUCAACCUGGAGAAACUGAGACAUAUCUUUAUGGUAAAUAUUCAGCAUGUUGUUUUCCAUAACCUGUUGUGUUUUAAUUCUAAUAAUGUAUGACAAUCGGAAAACAAACAAAUAAAAAUGCAUGAUUUACUUUAUUAAACGGAUACAAAUAUUUAUAA